UACAGAGGUCUCAAGCGUUGUUCGGAUUCAUUGGGCGUAAAGGGUGCGUAGGUGGCGCUGUAAGUCGGGUGUGAAAUUUCGGAGCUUAACUCCGAAACUGCAUUCGAUACUGCGGUGCUUGAGGACUGGAGAGGAGACUGGAAUUCAUGGUGUAGCAGUGAAAUGCGUAGAGAUCAUGAGGAAGACCAGUGGCGAAGGCGGGUCUCUGGACAGUUCCUGACGCUGAGGCACGAAGGCCAGGGGAGCAAACGGG
rnacentral:rRNA from 1 species